rnacentral:rRNA from 1 species
CUUUACUGUAGCUUGGAAUUGGGUUCGGGCUUUGCUUGCGCAGGAUAGGUGGGAGACUAUGAAGUUGCUCUUGUGGGAGUAAUGGAGUCAACGGUGAGAUACCACUCUGGUGAGGCUAGAAUUCUAACUUGUUCCCGUCAUCCGGGAGAAGGACAAUUUCAGGUGGGCAGUUUGACUGGGGCGGUCGCCUCCUAAAAGGUAACGGAGGCGCGCAAAGGUGUUCUCAGGCUGGUUGGAAAUCAGCCGUAGAGUGUAAAGGCAGAAGAACGCUUGACUGUGAGAGUGACAACUCAAGCAGGGACGAAAGUCGGCUUUAGUGAUCCGACGGCACUGAGUGGAAGGGCCGUCGCUCAACGGAUAAAAGUUA